rnacentral:rRNA from 1 species
GGCAAGCCUGAUCCAGCAAUGCCGCGUGUGUGAUGAAGGCCUUCGGGUUGUAAAGCUCUUUUGUCCGGGAAGAAAAUGACGGUUCUUAUACGCAAGACUCUUGACGGUUCCGGGCCAGAAAGCCCCGGCUUAAUAGUGCCAGCAGCCGCGGUA